CCUUGCAAGGUCCUCAUACCUGUCAGACAGUUUUCACUUGACCUCGACCUGAUUUCAUGGAUCAGUGAACAAGGUUAAGUUUUCGUGGUCAAGUCCAUAUCUCAGAUACUAUAAGCAAUAGGUCUAGUAUAUUCGGUGUAUGGAAGGACUGUAAGGUGUACAUGUCCAACUGGCAGGUGUCAUCUGACCUUGACCUCAUUUUCAUGGUUCAGUGGUUAUAGUUAAGUUUUUGUGUUUUGGUCUGUUUUUCCUAUACUGUAUGCCAUAGGUCUACUUUAUUUGGUGUAUGGAAUGAUUGUAAGGUGUACAUGUCUAGCGGGCAGGUGUCAUCUGACCUUGACCUCAUUUUCAUGGUUCAGUGGUCAAAGUUAAGUUUUUUGAGUUUUGGUCUUUUUUUCUAAUACUAUAUAUGCAAUAGUUCAACUAUAUUUGGUGUAUGGAAAUAUUUUAUGAUUUAUUUGGCAGUCACGCAGGUUUUAUUUGACCUUGACCUCAUUUUUCAAGGUUCAUUGCUCAGUGUUAAGUUUUUGUGUUUUGGUCUGUUUUUCUUAAACUAUAAGCAAUAGGUCAACUAUAUUUGUUGUAUGGAAGAAUUUUUAGCUGUACAUGCCUGCCUAGCAUGGUUCAUCUGACCUUGACCUCAUUUUCAUGGUUCAUUGGUCAAUGUUUAGUUUACUUGGUUAAUGUUAAGUUUAUGUGACAGUUGUAAUAAAGCUUUAUAUUUAGGACAAUCAACAUAAUAUCAAUGAUUAGUAAAGAAGGCGAGACAUUUCAGCGUGUGCACUCUUGUUGAUUAUGGGCCCAGUUUUCAAGUUGGUCCAAAUUGGGGUCCAAAAUUAAACUUUGUUUGAUUUCAACAAAAAUUGAAUAUAUGAGGUUCUUUGAUAUGCUGAAUCUAACCAUGUAUUUAGAUUUUUUAUUUGUAGGCCCCGCUAUCAAAUUGGUUCAUAUUGAGAUCAAGAGGGUCCAAAAUUAAACUUUGUUUGAUUUCAUCGAAAAUUGAAUUAUUGGGGUUCUUUGAUAUGCCAAAUCUAACCGUGUUUUUAGAUUUUUAAUUUGGGUCCCGUUUUUUAAAUUGGUCUUCAUUGAGGUCCAAAGGGUCCAAAAUUAAACUUAGUUUGAUUUUAACAAAAAUUGAAUUCUUGGGGUUCUUUGAUAUGCUGAAUCUAAACAUGUAUUUAGAUUUUUGAUUAUGGGCCCAGUUUUCAAGUUGGUCCAAAUUGGGGUCCAAAAUUAAACUUUGUUUGAUUUCAACAAAAAUUGAAUAUAUGAGGUUCUUUGAUAUGCUGAAUCUAACCAUGUAUUUAGAUUUUUUAUUUGUAGGCCCCGCUAUCAAAUUGGUUCAUAUUGAGGUCAAAAGGGUCCAAAAUUAAACUUUGUUUGAUUUCAUCUAAAAUUGAAUUAUUGGGGUUCUUUGAUAUUCCAAAUCUAACCGUGUAUUUAGGUUUUUAAUUUUGGGUCCUGUUUUUUAAAUUGGUCUACAUUGAGGUCCAAAGGGUCCAAAAUUAAACUUAGUUUGAUUUUGACAAAAAUUGAAUUCUUGGGGUUCUUUGAUUUGCUGAAUCUAAACAUGUGUUUAGAUUUUUGAUUAUGGGCCCAGUUUUCAAGUUGGUCCAAGAUAGGGUCCAGUAUUUAAACUUUGUUUGAUUUCAACAAAAAUUGAAUAUAUGGGGUUCUUUGAUAUGCUGAAUCUAAACAUGUAUUUAGAUUUUUGAUUAUGGGCCCAGUUUUCAAGUUGGUCCAAAUUGGGGUCCAAAAUUAAACUUUGUUUGAUUUCAACAAAAAUUGAAUAUAUGAGGUUCUUUGGUAUGCUGAAUCUAACCAUGUAUUUAGAUUUUUUUAUUUGUAGGCCCCGCUAUCAAAUUGGUUCAUAUUGAGGUCAAAAGGGUCCAAAAUUAAACUUUGUUUGAUUUCAUCGAAAAUUGAAUUAUUGGGGUUCUUUGAUAUGCCAAAUCUAACCGUGUUUUUAGAUUUUUAAUUUGGGUCCCGUUUUUUAAAUUGGUCUUCAUUGAGGUCCAAAGGGUCCAAAAUUAAACAGUUUGAUUUUAACAAAAAUUGAAUUCUUGGGGUUCUUUGAUAUGCUGAAUCUAAACAUGUGUUUAGAUUUUUGAUUAUGGGCCCAGUUUUCAAGUUGGUCCAAGUUGGGGUCCAAAAUUAAACUUUUUUUGAUUUCAACAAAAAUUGAAUAUAUGGGGUUCUUUGAUAUGCUGAAUCUAACCAUGAAUUUAGAUUUUUUAUUUGUGGGCCCCGCUAUCAAAUUGGUUCAUAUUGAGGUCAAAAGGGUCCAAAAUUAAACUUUGUUUGAUUUCAUCAAAAAUUGAAUUAUUGGGGUUCUUUGAUAUUCCAAAUCUAACCGUGUAUUUAGAUUUUUAAUUUUAAGUCCCGUUUUUUAAAUUGGUCUACAUUAAGGUCCAAAGGGUCCAAAAUUAAACUUAGUUUGAUUAUAGCAAAAAUUGAAUUCUUGGGGUUCUUUGAUAUGCUGAAUCUAAACAUGUGUUUAGAUUUUUGAUUAUGGGCCCAGUUUUCAAGUUUGUCCAAGUUGGGGUCCAAAAUUAAACUUUGUUUGAUUUUAACAAAAAUUGAAUAUAUGGGGUUCUUUGAUAUGCUGAAUCUAACCAUGUAUUUUGAUUUUGGACAUUGGACCAUAAUAGGUAAAUUAAAAAAAUUCAAGUUCUUAGACCACAUUCUUUCUGUGUCAGAAACCUAUGCUGUGUCAAAUAUUUAAUAACAAUCCAAAUUCAGAGCUGUAUCAAGCUUGAAUGUUGUGUCCAUACUUGCCCCAACUGUUCAGGGUUCGACCUCUGCGGUCGUAUCAAGCUGCGCCCCAGCGAAGCAUUUUAUCU